rnacentral:rRNA from 1 species
UACGAAGGGGGCUAGCGUUGCUCGGAAUCACUGGGCGUAAAGCGCACGUAGGCGGGUCGUUAAGUCGGGGGUGAAAUCCUGGAGCUCAACUCCAGAACUGCCUUCGAUACUGACGAUCUUGGAGUCCGGGAGAGGUGGGUGGAACUGCGAGUGUAGAGGUGAAAUUCGUAGAUAUUCGCAAGAACACCAGUGGCGAAGGCGGCUCACUGGCCCGGUACUGACGCUGAGGUGCGAAAGCGUGGGGAGCAAACAGG